rnacentral:rRNA from 1 species
AGAGUUUGAUCAUGGCUCAGAACGAACGCUGGCGGCGUGCUUAACACAUGCAAGUCGAGCGGGAACGUCCCCUUCGGGGGGCUAGUACAGCGGCGAACGGGUGAGUAACACGUAGGUAACCUACCCUGGUGUCUGGGAUAACCUGUCGAAAGGCGGGCUAAUACCAGAUAAGACCACGAGAACUUCGGUUCUUGCGGUAAAAGAUGGCCUAUGCUUGCAAGCUAUCACUCCGGGAGGGGCCUGCGCGCCAUUAGCUAGUUGGUGAGGUAACGGCUCACAAAGGCUGAGAUGGCUAGCUGGUCUGAGAGGAUGAUCAGCCACACUGGGACUGAGACACGGCCCAGACUCCUACGGGAGGCAGCAGUGGGGAAUAUUGCGCAAUGGGCGAAAGCCUGACGCAGCGACGCCGUGUGGGUGAUGAAGGCCUUCGGGUCGUAAAGCCCUGUCAGGGGGGACGAAACCUCGUCGACCUAAUACGUCGGCGACCUGACGGUACCUCCAAAGGAAGCACCGGCUAACUCCGUGCCAGCAGCCGCGGUAAUACGGAGGGUGCGAGCGUUGUUCGGAAUUACUGGGCGUAAAGCGCGUGUAGGCGGCCUUUUAAGUCUGGUGUGAAAGCCCGGGGCUCACCCCCGGAAGUGCAUUGGAUACUGGGAGGCUAGAGUACCGGAGAGGAAGGUGGAAUUCCUGGUGUAGCGGUGAAAUGCGUAGAUAUCAGGAGGAACACCGGUGGCGAAGGC